AUGAGGCGUCGGGAGGUGUGGGGCCGGGAGAACAUUGCUCUGCCUGGUUUCCUAGGCGGAGGCAGGUGUGUUGUCGGCAGAGACCCUCACUCAGGCCAAGUGCGUGAUGUCUCUUCUUCUUCCGCAGACGCCGAGCCCGGCACCCGGGUACCUGUUCCGGACGUGCCGCUCCCAACCAUGACUCCCAGCACCGAGGAGGCUGACCACGACCACGACCACGACCCCGACCCCGACCACGACGCCGAGCCCGGCACCCGGGAACCUGUUCCGGACGUGCCGCUCCCAACCAUGACUCCCAGCACCGAGGAGGCUGACCACGACCACGACCACGACCACGACCACGACCACGACGCCGAGCCCGGCACCCGGGAACCUGUUCCGGACGUGCCGCUCCCAACCAUGACUCCCAGCACCGAGGAGGCUGACCACGACCACGACCACGACCACGACCACGACCACGACGCCGAGCCCGGCACCCGGGAACCUGUUCCGGACGUGCCGCUCCCAACCAUGACUCCCAGCACCGAGGAGGCUGACCACGACCACGACCACGACCACGACCACGACCACGGUAGGGGCCCGUGUGCCUUGUGUCCUCUGCCCCUGGGAGCCCGCUGGGUUGCCGGGGCUCCUUGAGCGAGAACGGGCUUUCCUAUUGCCUCCGGGACCGGGAAGGUGUCGCCAUGCGAUUCCUUGUCCCGAAACGCUGGCCUGUGCUCUGGAGCUGCGGGGACGUCCUCGGGGCUCUGCCCGGGAAGGAUGUGCUCCCUGGGGAGAGAGGGGCCGCGGUGCGAGUCAGGCGCUCCGAGACGGGGCCGUGUGUCCUCCCGGGUGCUCUGGUUGGCUGCACGCUGCCUGGGCCUGUCCGCAGGUUGUGCGUUUCUCUGCGUGGUGGUCUGCUAACCCGUGCGGGAGGGGCGUAGGCUUCCCCGCCCCCCACGUCUGCUCCCGCCAUGACCCCGGGGGUCUGGUGCAGCACUCCCAGCCCGCAUGCCUGGCGUGGCCACGGAGGCUGCGAGUGCAGAAGCCUCAUGGGACCCGGCGUGGAGUGCCCCACUGCCCCUGGUGGCCCAGUGUGCGCAGCGGACUUAGGCGCGGGCACGCUGGGCUCCGCGAGGGUGGUGCUCUGUGCCUCUGCCUCUCCUGAGACGUCCUUGCCUUCCUCUUGGCGUUGGCUGGUCUCCGAGCUCCCGGGACAGCGUCCAGGAGGCGUGGCCGCUGCCUGAGGACAAGUCCUCGAUGUGCCCUCUGACGCUGGCACGAGCGUGUUCUGGACCCGGGCCGUGCCCCCAGGCAGCUGGGGAGUUGUCUGCCUUGUAGUGCGGCGGGCCACCAGGAGAAUCUGACCCAGUGUCCUGGAUGGGCCAGUUCCCAGUCGUGCGCUCGUGGCCCAGACCAGACCCGGGCUGGUGUGUGGAGCCAGCCACGCGGGCCCGUCUGUCCUCCGUGCCCUGAGUGGGCGCAGAUGAGAGAGGGCGCGGUUGCUCCGUCCGCUUUUCUCCCCUCUCGCCCCCAUGCGGGGAGCCGUCCAGCGAGGCCUGGCUGGACUGAGCCCGUGCCGGACACGGUGCUCCGUUGCCGUCCUGGAGGGCCCAGAGGAUUGCUCGAGGUGUGCCCACCAGGCCCCUCCCCUGAG
ensembl:lncRNA